rnacentral:lncRNA from 1 species
CAGUGGUGACCCAACAACCUGAAGAACCCGUCACCGCCGUGGCAGAAGAAGAAAAGGAAGCACCAGCCGUGGAAACGAGCAAAGAAGUGGUUGUGGAAGAGGCAGAGAAGAAAGAUGAUGAAACAGAGAAGAAAACAGAGGAGGAAGAAGUGAAGACAGAGGUGAUCACGGAAGCCCCCGCAGCUGUGGAGGAGGAGAAGAAAGCAGAGGAAGUAGUAGAGAAGGAGGAGGUGACAGAGGCUACAGCAGUUGUGGAGGAGGAGAAGACUGAGGCGGCGGAGGAGAAACCAACUGAAGUUGCGGCUGCUGAGGAAGUUGUCGUCGAGAAGGCCGAGGAGUGAAGAAGAAGGAAGAAGCUUUAAUUGAUG